rnacentral:rRNA from 1 species
GCCCUCCCUCGCCGCCAUCAGACUCCGUACGGGGGGCAGGCAGUGGGGAAUCUUGCACAAUGGACGAAAGUCUGAUGCAGCAACGCCGCGUGGGGGAUGGAAGCUUUUCGGAGUGUAAACCCUUUCGACCCGGAAGAAUGCCCGCAAGGGUUUGACGGGUACGGGUAUAAGGAAGCCCCGGCUAACCUACGUGCCAGCAGCCGCGGUAAUAC